UCAAAUACACUGAAAGAUUCUCAGGACAGAGUUUUAAGAGGGUGCCUGCCAAUUCAAAGGUCAAUCUUCCGUGGAGUGUUUCAAUGAGAUUCCGCACAGCCAAGCCUUCAGGAUCUCUGCUUGAAACCUCUUUUUCAUCAUCAUCUUCGGUGUUGGAGUUGGUUGAUGGUAAACUGUAAUACAACUACAAAGGGCUGUUGGUUCUCCAAUUGCCUCACAUAGCGGUGAAUGAUACCCAGUGGCAUCACAUCGAGAUCCUCUGGACAGAUUCUCCCUUAACAUAACAAUGGACUACAUCUACAAAGUCUCUGCAGAUGCAUCCAGUGGAAAAGACCUUGGAGUUUUCAGACAGUUUUUCAUGGGAGCGAGGAAGAAUUCUAUCAAGUCUGCAGUGUAUGGUGGAUUUAGAGGCUGUAUACAAGGGGUUUUUGUCGGGAGCACUGAGAUCAACAUGAACUCUGGAGUCAAUCACAAAACAGCAUCCAUCUGGUUGUGAAGAGAAAAUAGGAAGCCACUGCUCAUCGAACCCUUGUCCAGACUACAGCACGUGUCAAGAGGAAUUCGACUCUUACAAAUGCACAUGUCCUGUAGGUUACGUUGGUAAACACUGCGUGCGCGUAUGUUCUCUUAAGCCGUGCCGACAUGGCAAAUGUGAAAGUACAAACCAUGGAAAGGGAUUCCGAUGUGUUUGUCCUCAACAGUACACUGGGAAUUUUGUGAGGUCCGCAUGGAGAUACCCUGUCGAGAUAAGUACUUUGGUGCUUCAAGUAUAGGCGUCUGUGGUCCGUGUAAAUGUGAAGUGGGGAAUGAAUCUGAGUCCAGUUUGUAACAAGUCUACAGGAGAGUGCUACUGUAAUGUCCUUCUUCAGUCAGCCAGAACGCUGUUUAGCUCCGAUAACAAAGAUGUGUGGGACGUCGUUCAACAGGCUAAAGAGGCCAAACAUUCUGGAGCGAAGGAAGAUUUGACCUUAACUAACCGGUCAAAUGUAAGUAUUGCCACUGGUAAAUGGUGGCAAGUAAUGCGAAGUAAUUAUGUUCGCUCAUUUUACCUCACAGAACAUCAACCAAUGCCCUCUUCUUAUACCUCACACUACCAAUUACGUUCUCCACCACACUGAUACCAAUCAAAUGCUUGUAAUUGUGGUAGCAAUAAAGAAAACGAUUUGCUCA